rnacentral:rRNA from 1 species
CCUACGGGUGGCAGCAGUGGGGAAUAUUGCACAAUGGGGGAAACCCUGAUGCAGCAACGCCGCGUGAGUGAGGAAGUAUUUCGGUAUGUAAAGCUCUAUCAGCAGGGAAGAGAAAAGAAGGUACCUGACAAAGAAGCCCCGGCUAACUACGUGCCAGCAGCCGCGGUAAUAGGUAGGGGGCAAGCGUUAUCCGGAUUUACUGGGGGUAAAGGGAGCGUAGACGGAAAUGCAAGUCGGAAGUGAAAGCCCAGGGCUCAACCACGGGACUGCUUUUGAAACUGGCAAACUAGAGUGCGGGAGAGGUAAGAGGAAUUCCUAGUGUAGCGGUGAAAUGCGUAGAUAUUAGGAGGAACACCAGUGGCGAAGGCGUCUUACUGGACCGUAACUGACGUUGAGGCUCGAAAGCGUGGGGAGCAAACAGGAUUAGAUACCCUAGUAGUC